rnacentral:lncRNA from 1 species
UUGCUUUAUUUUAUUCUGUGAAAAUAAGCCUUAUUAUAAAUCACAAUGAAAUGACUCCAAUAAGGCUCAUGGCUGCCAAGCCCAUUCCUGCAACGCUUGCAGCGAUGAUGACAUCUCUGACCUGCAACAAAGAAGAGGGUGGGUCACACUCUGUGUCAGGAUCCAGAGUACAGGCUGCACAUUCAGCAGAAACAUUCAGCUCGGGAUACCUCACAUGCCCCUUGGCCUCCCUGGCCAAACUAAGGAGUCAACAAACAUUGGUAGGGAAGAGGGGAGGAGAGGGCUGGACGGGAAAAGAAUUCGUGGCUGGAGCCAGCUGGCCUGAAAUUUACAUGGAACCAAAGAUGGAAAACUGGAUUCACCGUGUUGUCUUGUACUCUGUAUUUGGAGUUUAUUGCUGCAUAGGAGCAUGAGUUUUACCAAGACCAUGCCCAGCCUCCGUCAGCAGAGGGAAUGGUCUGGUUCCUGGGGAAGGCGACACAG